UACGUAGGGGGCUAGCGUUGUCCGGAUUUAUUGGGCGUAAAGAGCGUGUAGGCGGCCAGAUAGGUCUGCUGUGAAAACUCGAGGCUCAACCUCGAGCUGUCGGCGGAAACCAUCUGGCUAGAGUCCGGAAGAGGAGAGUGGAAUUCCUGGUGUAGCGGUGAAAUGCGCAGAUAUCAGGAGGAACACCGGUGGCGAAGGCGGGUCUCUGGGCAGUAACUGACGCUGAGACGCGAAAGCGUGGGGAGCGAACAGG
rnacentral:rRNA from 1 species